rnacentral:misc_RNA from 1 species
CAAAUAAGGUACAAAGAAAGAACCACAAUCUACUUUCUAACCACACAAAUGAUACAUUUAUAAUUGCUGAUGAUAAAGAAUUGCUUAUAUAAAUUUCCUUGCCAUACAUAUCUUCCAUCCUGAUGCAAAACAUAAUUUAAGGAGGAAAAAAGAGCACUAUAUGCCAAUUAAGCAAUCCGGUACAGGCCAUGCUUCUAAAAUCAGAAUAUAAG